GUCGAGCGGGGAAAGGUAGCUUGCUACUUGACCUAGCGGCGGACGGGUGAGUAAUGCUUAGGAAUCUGCCUAUUAGUGGGGGACAACAUCUCGAAAGGGAUGCUAAUACCGCAUACGUCCUACGGGAGAAAGCAGGGGACCUUCGGGCCUUGCGCUAAUAGAUGAGCCUAAGUCGGAUUAGCUAGUUGGUGGGGUAAAGGCCUACCAAGGCGACGAUCUGUAGCGGGUCUGAGAGGAUGAUCCGCCACACUGGGACUGAGACACGGCCCAGACUCCUACGGGAGGCAGCAGUGGGGAAUAUUGGACAAUGGGGGGAACCCUGAUCCAGCCAUGCCGCGUGUGUGAAGAAGGCCUUUUGGUUGUAAAGCACUUUAAGCGAGGAGGAGGCUACCGAGAUUAAUACUCUUGGAUAGUGGACGUUACUCGCAGAAUAAGCACCGGCUAACUCUGUGCCAGCAGCCGCGGUAAUACAGAGGGUGCAAGCGUUAAUCGGAUUUACUGGGCGUAAAGCGCGCGUAGGUGGCCAAUUAAGUCAAAUGUGAAAUCCCCGAGCUUAACUUGGGAAUUGCAUUCGAUACUGGUUGGCUAGAGUAUGGGAGAGGAUGGUAGAAUUCCAGGUGUAGCGGUGAAAUGCGUAGAGAUCUGGAGGAAUACCGAUGGCGAAGGCAGCCAUCUGGCCUAAUACUGACACUGAGGUGCGAAAGCAUGGGGAGCAAACAGGAUUAGAUACCCUGGUAGUCCAUGCCGUAAACGAUGUCUACUAGCCGUUGGGGCCUUUGAGGCUUUAGUGGCGCAGCUAACGCGAUAAGUAGACCGCCUGGGGAGUACGGUCGCAAGACUAAAACUCAAAUGAAUUGACGGGGGCCCGCACAAGCGGUGGAGCAUGUGGUUUAAUUCGAUGCAACGCGAAGAACCUUACCUGGUCUUGACAUAGUAAGAACUUUCCAGAGAUGGAUUGGUGCCUUCGGGAACUUACAU
rnacentral:rRNA from 1 species